rnacentral:rRNA from 1 species
AACGAACGCUGGCGGCAUGCCUAACACAUGCAAGUCGAACGAGACCUUCGGGUCUAGUGGCGCACGGGUGCGUAACGCGUGGGAACCUGCCUUUAGGUUCGAAAUAACUCAGAGAAAUUUGAGCUAAUACCGGAUGAUGUCUUCGGACCAAAGAUUUAUCGCCUUUAGAUGGGCCCGCGUUGGAUUAGCUAGUUGGUGGGGUAAAGGCCUACCAAGGCGACGAUCCAUAGCUGGUCUGAGAGGAUGAUCAGCCACACUGGGACUGAGACACGGCCCAGACUCCUACGGGAGGCAGCAGUGGGGAAUAUUGGAAAAUGGGCGAAAGCCUGAUCCAGCAAUGCCGCGUGAGUGAUGAAGGCCUUAGGGUUAUAAAGCUCUUUUACCCGAGAUGAUAAUGACAGUAUCGGGAGAAUAAGCUCCGGCUAACUCCGUG